CCAUAAUUCAUUCACUCUUUAACCCUUGCAAUCAGGCUUCUGUCCUCACUAUUCAACUGAAACCCCUGAAUCAAAGGUCAAUAACUUUUUUUUAAUGUUUCAGUUUGUGUUUUUUGACAAAUGAUGUACUCUACAGCCUAAUAACAGCACAAUUGGAGUGUAGGUUUCUUCCAGACUGGCAACAGAAGAGAAAUAUUGGAGGAACACAAGACUCACAAUGUGAAAGGGCUGAGGACUGGGUAGUGGCAAGGAGUGUAUGACUAGAACAGCGGGGACUAUUCAAGGUAAAAUUCUUUCUUUGAUUUUAGGGCCACUCAUCUCACUCCAACUGGCAGAUGGGUGGGGGAGAGUGGCUUAUGCCUAGAAGUUUCUUUUCCCCAUAAAGAUAGAAGUGCCUUAUGAAGACACCAUUGCUAAAUAUCACAUUAUUCACCAAAACAUGUUGGUUUUUAGUCGUUGUAUUCAACUUUUGUUUUUUUUUUAACUUUAAGUAUGUAAGACCAAGACACUUUCAUUUACAUAAGAGGUGGUCAAAAGGAGGGUGGUUCCUCUGGCCAGGAAGAUGUAGAAGGCCAGUACAUAUUGAGGACUUGUGCUCAAGAGGGACUAUGGCUGCUGCCUACUUUGUGUGCAUGAAGCAUGUCUUGACCAACUUAAAAGGGAUUCUUGGUUAUGGGAGUCAGACAUCGAAGCUCCUCAAACAACUGCGUGUGAAAGAUGGCAGCCUCUGCCUCUUUGGCAAUCAAGUGCUGCAUCUGCACAGCUUCUACUGGGUAGUCUUCUUUGGCAGUCUCUUCAGACAGCAUGAUGCAAUCAGCUCCAUCCAGGACAGCAUUGGCUACAUCGCUGCCUUCAGCCUGAGUGGGGUGUGACUUCUUAAUCAUGCUCUCUAACAUCUGAGUGAUACAAAUAACAGGUUUCCCAACUCAAUUGCACCUCCUGAUCAUCAUCUUCUGAGCAAGGAAGACUUUUUUUUGGCAGGGAUCUCAAUACCUAGGUCCCCUUGAACAACCAUGAUACCAUCACUGGCUUCCAGGAUCUCAUCAAAUCUUUGGACCCCUUCAUGGUUCUCAAUCUUGCUUAUGAUCUUGAUGUGUUUUCCUGGAUCUAACUGCAUGAACAUCAUCUGCCUUUUGGAUGAAAGAUGCAAACACCAUAUCCACUUCUUGCUCUAAUCUAAACUUGAGAUCUUAGAUAUCCUUCUCAGUUACAACAGGCAAGAACAGCUGCCCCAAAAAGGUUCACACCUUUCUUGAUGUCCAGACUUCCACCAUUCUCUACCUCAGUCAAAAGAUAAUCCUUACCUUUCUCCUUCACAAACAGAGAGAUGAGCCCAUCAUCCACAUAGAUUUUGCCACCUAUGUCCACCACUCUGCAAGUGUUUUUGUAGUCUUCCCAUAGAAUGUUCUUGUCACAUUUUUCCAUAUGAGUUAUCAUCCAAGGUGAUCUUCAGAGGGUUACCCUUCUUCAGCUCCACUUCUGCAAUACCACUACCCUUGAUGAGUACAGUACAGAUCUCUGGUCCUUUGGUGUUCAAAGCUAUAGCAACAGGUCAGUAAAUGACGGGGUCAGAAGCAAAGCUUUCAGUAGCUGUUUGCACAUUUUUUGACAGUUUCUGCAUGGUACUCAUGCGAUCCAUGGGAGAAGUUUUAAUGAGCCACGUUCAUUCCAGCUUUAAUCAUCUCUUUCAAUUUCCCCACAUCUCAGGAGGCUGGGUCGAUAGUACAGAUGAUACUACUGUUUCUGGCAUUAGGGGGUUCUGAGUCAAUGUCCAGACGACAUAUAUUCCAGAAAAGUGUUGGCCAUGGCAGCGAACAGUUGCUGGUUUGGAAUAUCUGUACCUGUUAUUGUGCUGGGUGGUUUGGCCAAAUC
rnacentral:lncRNA from 1 species